rnacentral:lncRNA from 1 species
AUGCAGAAAGGGUGCUGGCUUGCUUUUAUCACAUCAAAGCCUGAUAACAGCAAUUCUGUGCUUACCAACCUCCCUCAUGAGCGUAUACAGCAUCCACAGAUGCCUUUGAAGACUUCUGCUGAGGAUCAUGGACCAUGUCCUAGUUCUCUAAUCCUGCAAGGAGAUAACAGUCCCACAAUGGAGGAAAUGGGCAAAAGUGAUGGAAUCAGUGAGCUGAAACAUCUGCACAUCACCAGCAGCUGCCACUGCCCUCAAGGAAAUCUUCCAGAGAAGGAUCUCUCCCCUCAUUGAACUGAUGUGAUUCUCACCUAGCAAAAGAGCAUGUACAGAAUGAUUUGAGAGGAAAACUGAAGACCCAGUCCACUUGUUCCUAUCUUUGGUCUCCUUUUCUCAAAGUCGUGUUCCUGAAGUUAAUGAACACUUCACAUUAUUGCCUAACCAUAACUUCUCCUUUCCCUCUUGAGACCCAAUCCCCUGUGAAAAGUCUCUCAGUCCUAACCAAAACCAGAUAAACAGAAAUGCUAUUUCAGUUCAUUGAGUGUG